GAGGCGCACAGCGCAGGCGCUGGCGCGGAGAGGCGCAGGCCCAGGUCCACUCCCCAGCUGUGAAAGGGAGCUCUACGGUGACUUUGAAGACUUGGAAACAGGGGACAUGCACAAGGGAAAAUCGGGCCCCGACACUCAGAAUGAAGAUAUAGAGAAACAAGGAAGAAAUUGACCCCGACGAAGAAGAAAGUGCCAAGAAAAAGCAUUUGGAUAAGAAGAGAAAAUUGAAGGAGAUGUUUGAUGCGGAAUAUGAUGAAGGAGAAAGCACAUAUUUUGAUGAUCUUAAAGGAGAAAUGCAGAAAGAAGCACAGCUGAAUCACGUAGAAUUUGAAGAUCAAGAUGAUGAAGCCAGAGUUCAGUAUGAUGGUUUUCGACCUGGGAUGUACGUCCGCGUUGAGAUUGAAAAUGUUCCCUGUGAAUUUGUGCAGAACUUUGACCCCCAUUACCCCAUUAUCCUGGGUGGCUUGGGCAACAGCGAGGGAAAUGUUGGACACGUGCAGAUGCGUCUGAAGAAACAUCGCUGGUAUAAGAAAAUCCUCAAGUCCCAAGAUCCAAUCAUAUUUUCUGUAGGGUGGAGGAGGUUUCAGACCAUCCUGCUCUAUUAUAUUGAAGACCACAAUGGAAGACAAAGGCUUCUAAAGUAUACCCCACAGCACAUGCAUUGUGGAGCAGCCUUUUGGGGUAAAAUAUGAUUACAAUAACUUGCCUAUUGCCGAGAUUAAACUUUACAGGCUGCGUUAUUUUA
rnacentral:lncRNA from 1 species